GUCGUAACAAGGUAACCGUAGGUGAACCUGCGGUUGGAUCAUUGCUAAUACUAGGGACUAUAGUGUAUGCGGGUCGCCUUCGGGUGCAACUGCUAUAGUCUCUAUAAACACCUGUGCACCUAUUUGUGUCUUCGGCGGGAAUCUUUUUGAAUUCCGCCGAACUUGUAAACCAUUCUAUAUUUUGUCGGCCAUUAAAUCUGUAAAGUUAACAACUUUAGACAACGGAUCUCUUGGCUCUCGCAACGAUGAAGAACGCAGCGAAAUGCGAUACGUAAUGUGAAUUGCAGAAUUCCGUGAAUCAUCAAAUCUUUGAACGCACAUUGCACUCUGUUUCGCAGAGUAUGCCUGUUUGAGAAUCUAUUGUAUUCUUCUAUCGAUUUCGGUUGAUAGAGAUCUGAGGAAUCUGGUUUGCCAGUUCUUUGAAAUAGAUUGACCAGUUUCUGCGAGAUGUUUGAACUCGCUCAGCUGAAAGUGUUUGUAUGAACCCCGGUUCUUUUUACGCCUAAGUUUGAGUGACUAGUCUUUGUAGGAUCUGGCCCAACAUAGAGUUUUCCUUGUGAAAACUUGAACCAUGGUCUCAAAUCAGGUAGGAGUACCCGCUGAACUUAAGCAUAUC
rnacentral:rRNA from 1 species